UACGUAGGGAGCGAGCGUUGUCCGGAUUUACUGGGUGUAAAGGGUGCGUAGGCGGCUAGACAAGUCAGGUGUGAAAUACCGCAGCUCAACUGCGGGGCUGCACUUGAAACUGUAGAGCUUGAGUGAUGGAGAGGUAAGCGGAAUUCCUAGUGUAGCGGUAAAAUGCGUAGAUAUUAGGAGGAACACCAGUGGCGAAGGCGGCUUACUGGACAUUAACUGACGCUGAGGCACGAAAGCGUGGGGAGCAAACAGGAUUAGAUACCCUGGUAGUCCACGCCGUAAACGAUGAUUACUAGGUGUAGGAGGUAUCGACCCCUUCUGUGCCGGAGUUAACACAAUAAGUAAUCCACCUGGGGAGUACGACCGCAAGGUUGAA
rnacentral:rRNA from 1 species